GCCAGAAGCAGCUACUUCGCUCGCCGACAGUGAUCGCCUUGGAUCCGUAGGUAAGCACCACACAAUAGACUCGCACUACCGAACAAAACCCGCGAUGAGACACUUAUGGCGGUAAGCUCCAACGAGGAUAAUACGAGAAUCUCGUAUUAUCCUCGUUUUUGUUAAGCACCAAGCGGUAUGAUAUGCGUUUUUAAUCUCGGAUUUCAACUUAAUACGCCGAUUUUGGCGUAUUAAGUUAAUCCGAGAUUUUCUUGGAGUGGCUGCAUGCUUGAAUUUUUGAUGAAACGCACACUAGUUUACCCUGUUGUCAAAAUAAUUUUACGGCAGCAAACCCAAAAAGUAAACAAGUGGCGAGCUGCUAAGCCAGGUGGAAAAUUUUCUCAAGAUUUUCGUAGUAAUUCCAGUUUUCCACGUUUAAUCCGCAUCAAUUCAGCGCUACAAUAUUGGGAAGAAAUCACAUCGAUAAACAAAAAGAUGGAACAGAUCUUUCGAAAUUCAGAAAAGGGAGUACAUACGAUCCUUGAUGGCCGGAAGGGUCGUUGCCAAUCCACCAUCCACAAGUUGCAGAUCUUCCAGAAUGCUAAUGACCGGAACAGCUGUUUGACUGGUUCGAGGAAAUAUCCGAUGAUUGAGAAGGAGCUUUUUUAAAGGAUUCAACAACUGACCGCAGUACAAAAGGACAGCGCAUGUGUUGUUAAUAAUGAAUAAAUGGCACAAUUUCUAUUGAUAAGUAGAUAAGAAUAUAAAUCAUGCUAGAUAUAUUAUAAAUAUACAUUAUAUUUCAUAAGCACCUGA